GAUUAAAACCCAUAAACUUUCGUUUUGAGUAUAGAUCAGUAUUAGUAAAUGGUUGAAAAAUACAUCGCAGACUACAAUUAAGCAGGCCACCCUUCGUUCAGCCCUCCCGAAAGAGAGCACAGAAACAUGAUUUCAAACGUUCACCGAAAAGUUUUUAUGUGGGAAGGAACCAUCCCCUCCUAGAGAGGUACUGCGGAAGGAUCAU
rnacentral:rRNA from 1 species